rnacentral:rRNA from 1 species
GAUGAACGCUGGCGGCGUGCCUAACACAUGCAAGUCGAACGGAGUCGUUUUGGAAAUCUCUUCGGAGAUGGAAUUCUCGACUUAGUGGCGGACGGGUGAGUAACGCGUGAGCAAUCUGCCUUUAAGAGGGGGAUAACAGUCGGAAACGGCUGCUAAUACCGCAUAAAGCAUUAAAUUCGCAUGUUUUUGAUGCCAAAGGAGCAAUCCGCUUUUAGAUGAGCUCGCGUCUGAUUAGCUAGUUGGCGGGGUAACGGCCCACCAAGGCGACGAUCAGUAGCCGGACGGAGAGGUUGAACGGCCACAUUGGGACUGGGACACGGCCCAGACUCCUACGGGAGGCAGCAGUGGGGAAUAUUGCGCAAUGGGGGAAACCCUGACGCAGCAACGCCGCGUGAUUGAAGAAGGCCUUCGGGUUGUAAAGAUCUUUAAUCAGGGACGAAACAAAUGACGGUACCUGAAGAAUAAGCUCCGGCUAACUACGUG